GCCGUUUGCGCUCUGGGCAUGCGCAGAUCGUGGUGGGCGAGACCUUCCUUAGCUGCACCCUCCAGGCUACAGAUUGUCCACGUUUUGCCCCAAAUCAUCCUGUCCUCCCAACGGGAAGGAAACAGCUGCAAUGGAGCUGGCUCAGGUCAUUGAUAAGAAUGUUAAAUAUCACAGGAACAAGAACCAAUUUUUGUGGGAACCCCCUAGAAAGAAAUCUACUCCACCAUGGUUCCCC